rnacentral:rRNA from 1 species
GACGAACCGUGCGAACGUUGUUCGGAAUCACUGGGCUUAAAGGGCGCGUAGGCGGGUGGUCAAGUCGGUGGUGAAAUCCUUCCGCUCAACGGGAGAAUGGCCGCCGAUACUGACUGCCUCGAGGGAGGUAGGGGCAUGUGGAACUUCCGGUGGAGCGGUGAAAUGCGUAGAUAUCGGAAGGAACGCCGGUGGCGAAAGCGACGUGCUGGACCUCUUCUGACGCUGAGGCGCGAAAGCCAGGGGAGCAAACGGG